GAUGCAUUCCCGGCUGGUCUUCGUGUACUUGCUGUUGAUGAUGAUCCAGCUUGGCUCAAGGUUGUGUAAAAAAUGCUCAAGAAGUGUUCUUAUGAAAGUGAUUUUGCUUCUCUGUUUCUAGGUUUUUGAAAAAAAUCAUAUAUUGAUUCAAGUUUUCAUCAUCUAGAAUCUGCAAUUGUUAGUUGCAUGGUUGAGUAGAAAGAUGAUAGUUGGAUCUUGCUUGUGUUUGGUUUGUUUUGUGUGUUUGGUUGCUGAGAAAAUGUGGGAAAGGAGAAGAAUUUAAAUAUGGAUUCUAAAUUUUCAUGACCUAGAAUGCGCCCUGGUUUAAAACUUUCUGGUCUAAAACUAUUGGCGUUAGUGGAGUUGAUUUUCUUUCUUCUCCAUUUCUGAUACGGUAAACAACGCAAAAUGUGAUAUUUAGGGUUUUGGGUUCUCCUCAAUUUUCACAGAAACCAAACAACAAAUUAGAGAAUUUAUGUGGGUUUUACACUUUUUACUUAUCUGGGAUGUAUUUGUUUCUUUCUGUUUAUUUAAGGGUCUAUGACACGGUUUCUUUCUGUUUAGUCAUCGUUAGGUUAUCAAAGGUUGAUCUGCAGGUUGAUCGAUCAAAUAUAUAUCAACCACAUAUUAAUUUUUCUUGUUAUCAUCUGCCUAUUAGCCAUCUUUGAGUAAAUGAUUAGUUUUGCGCAGGACUGAUUCCAUUUUGUUUUCUUCCAACUUCUCUUGUUGGUCAGUUACUGCAAUUUCACAUUAGCUUUUUGCAAUUUGUUCUUUGUUAUAAUAUUCACUAAGAUACUCCUGAUCAUCUUUCGCAAGAAAUUGAACUUCGCUGGGGUAAUUUGUCGUAUGUUUCCUAAACUUUAUUUGGCCAGAGGUUUCUUUGGUUCAAAAAUUCAUACGAAGUUGUCCAAAUUUCAUGCAAAAGAAAAUUGGUUUGUCAGAUUAUGGAUAAUACCAUAAACCUAGAAGCCUUGUAUAGUGAUCUAAUAGAAGUUGGAAGUUUAGACAAAUUCCAUAUUUUGGAAACACCAAAAUAACCAGGAAAGAUCAAACCAAUCUUUAGGCAUCCAAAAAUCCCUAUGUGUGAUCAGGUAUGCAAGAUGAUUCAAGUUAUUGAUGAGAUUAAGAGAAUUGACUGUUUGUAAUGGAUCAAAAUCUUCUCAUAAGUCUGUUCAAUAUUUAUGAAGCAUAGUUGCUUGGGAAUAUUGAUCUUAGAAAAUAUGAUUGCAUAACAUGCAAUUUUUCUCCAUUUGGUUAUUUAGGUUCCAUUUGUUAAUAACUUGCAGCCUGUGUUUCAGGUCCCCUUGAACAAGGACCGUUUAUUUUUUGCUAAUAAUUUUGUUUUAUCAUCAUUUAUUCAUGUAUGUGCAGUGACCACUUGCUGUGUAGCAAGAGAUGCUUUGAGCAUGCUCCAAGAAAGAAAAAAUAGUUUUGACAUCAUAAUUAGUGAUGUUAACAUGCCAGAUAUGGACGGCUUCCAACUCCUGGAACAUCUUGAAGUUGAGAUGGAUCUCCCUGUCAUUUGUGAGUCCAUUGUGUAUUUUUUCCCUUCUUCACUCCCACAUACCUUGUUUUUUCUUUUUGGUUUCUAAUAACAAGUGCUGUGUGAAACCGCGCAGUGAUAUCUGUUGAUGGGGAAAUGAAUAGAGUUAUGAAAGGCGUCCAAAGUGGAGCUUGCGAUUAUCUUCUCAAGCCUGUUCGAAUGGAAGAGCUUAAGAAUAUAUGGCAGCAUGUCUUGAGAAAGAAAAUACAUGAGGGAAAAAACUCACAGGUGAUGAUAAGUAGAUCAUCAAAUGAGUUGGAUGAUGGGCAGCAACUAAAUGGAGGUGAGGUGAGUGCAACUAGAAAACGAAAAGAUAUGGAAAACAGAAGGCAUGAUGACCAAAAGUCAGUUGAGCCAUCAACAUCAAAGAAAGCCAGAGUGGUUUGGUCCAUAGAUCUACAUCAGAAGUUUGUGGACGUUGUAACCCAGAUUGGCUAUGAUAGUGAGUUUUAAUUUCCUUUUCACUAGUUUGUAUUAAGAUAGAUCAUCAACCUUUCAAAUUUUUAUCAAACUGGAAAAUUUUCUUUUGUUAUGGUUUACAAUUUGUUAACUUGUGUUAGGGUUUUGCAUUGACGGAGUCUUGAUGGUUAUUCAUCUGACAGAAGCCAGGCCCAAGAAAAUUCUGGACUUGAUGAAUGUUCCCUGGUUGACAAGAGAAAAUGUUGCUAGUCAUCUGCAGGUAAUUCUCUCAUUUUGUUCCCUGGUUACAUAAUGAAAAAAACAAUUCUGCAAGGAAACACUACUACAAAGUCAAAUGAAGGUUGGCCUCCUUAACUUUGGAAGCAAAAGAGGUCACUGUUUAAGCUCAAUAAGCACAAAUGACUCUAUUGAGCUAUCAAUAAUGGUUUGUAAGCAAAGCAUCGUUCAAUUAGUUCCAGACAUAUAAGUGUUCAGGACCAUGUAUAUAAGGGAUUGAGUAAUUCCUUGCUAUCCUGAACACAACAUUGGCAGAAAUGGCAAUUACUUCAAUACAAAAGUAAACAGGAUUUAAAUUCUGCUGAAACCUAAAGAAUUGGUUCCCUAACAGCAGUGAAACAUAUGUAGAGAAGGAAAAUUCUUUAUUGACUCUGUUUGAUAUGGUUGCCUGUCAGGGGAUUUUCUCUGAGAAAUUUUAUCCUUUGUGCAGAAGUACAGGUUCUACCUGAGUAAGUUGCGGAAGGAGAACAAAGUAAAAAGUUCUCAAGGGAUGAUGCAGCAGGAUUUCACCCGUCCUGCUGGAAGUUUUGGCUUUCAAACCUCAAAUCUGAUGCACCAAAAACAUGCAGCUAAUGGCAAUCCCAAAUACACAGGCAACAAUAUGCCUCUCAUAGACAAGGGCACAAGAUUCUGCCAUGAAGCUGAUAAGAAGGCUACAGCUUCCAUUUUGCCUGUGGAUCUCAAAGAAACUUCAGCAAGUAAUUUCCUUGACUGUCAGAGAGCAAAUGUUAGUUCUCAAACCAUUCUUUCCCAUCCUUUCAACCACCAAUCAAGUCAGUCAAAUACGACCACCCAGACGUGGAAUGAAGUCCUAAUGGAGCAACAAUUCAAACAGCCUCCAAAUCAAGAUCCUGAGCUGUAUGUUCUGCUAGAUGAUGACUUUAGCCAUGCACUGCUGUCUGCUCCACAACAUCUUCUCCAAGUUGAUCUCCAAUGUUCUGCUAAUGCUGUUGGUCCGGGAACUUCAGUUCCAGAAAGAGAUAAGCCCGGCUCUGUCAUGAUCAUACCUCUGUGCUCGCAAUCCAGAAGUGAUCAUGGCCAGAUUGUAGAUCCAGAGACCUCAGAUGCCAUCCCCAGCUUCAAAGUUGGCAUGAAAAAUCAGGUGGUCAAUCUGAAUUGCUUGAACGACUGAGAACCCACCCAACAACAGGUAUUUGCAGUAGGUGAUUCCUCCUUGGGGUCUCAAGUUGGAUGUACUAUUACAGAGAGUAUUGGGCUCCAGGACAUAGACCUAUUCAGAACUUUUUGCUGAACUGGAGGAGACAUGCUAUUAUAAUCACUUGGGGUUUAAAUGGAAUAAAGAUUGGGAUUCAAUUCAAAAUCCUGUUGUAGACCAAGGUUUAUUCACGACACAAUCCAAGGCCUCAGGGGUUUGCUAGGAACUGGAAAACCAGAGAGCAUUUUCUUUGGUGGAUGUGAUGAGAUUGAAUUUGAUCAUAAAUGUAGGAAUGUGUGCCAUUUUGAUGUAUAUAUGCUAAGCGUACUGCUUUAACUAAUCUACCUUUUUAACUUUCACGAUCGGCAGCACUAGUUAUUGUUGAAAUAUUCUCACUUGUAUUUCUAAAAUCAUCCUUUGGCAUAUUGCUUUAUGCCUCCUUUUUAACUAAUCUACCAUUUUGGUGUGCUGAUUUUCUGGGUGUUUGGCGUAUUGCUGUAUCAAUCAUGGAAUAGUCCUUUAACAUAGUUUUUCUCCAAACUAUGCUACUUUAAAUCCAAUUUGCUUUAAAUAAAGACAGAGAAUGUGAUGUAUCGUAAGCAUCUGUAAAAGCAAAUUCAGCCCUAUUCUAUUUAGCAAACAAAACCACCCCAAUGUACAACAAUGCCUCAAAAACUUGGAUCAAUUCUUGCCACUAAUAUUUAAAAACAUCUCAUUGCAGCACCAAGGUGGGUGUGUGUUUGGUGUGUGUAGGAGUAUAAAGAAAAUAUCCUCCACUGAUUUCCCCUUUUCUUUUAUUCUAUUCACCUUCGACAAUAAUUGGCCUUUAAUAAAAAUAUAUAUUAUGAUAAAAUUAUUGAAAAUUACAAAAAGUGCAAUUAUUACAUUAUAUUUUAACUUCAUUUAAAUUUUUUAACUAAAAUGAAUAAGGGAAAUCAAUUAAAAACGAUAUUUAAGUAACCAACAUGAACAAAAAUAUUUUAUCAUAAUGUUUUGAGAAUUAAAUGAAAUACUUAAAAUUUUUUAAUUUUUUAAAUUUUAUUGUUCAAUCAAUUUAAAAAUGAAAUAUAACUAAUAGUUUAGCUUAUGGAAUGUUAAUAAAAUUCCUCAAUAUAUUUUAUUUUAUUUUUUAAAAAAAACUCCCCUCUAGGGUGGCGGUGGGACUAAAUUAACACGCGCCCGCCGGAGGGCUACUUUAAGGAACCCGCGCCAAAGAUGGUCGGUUUGUAACGGUAACCUCAUUUAAAAACUCUUCCCGCUUGACUAUAUAACACACCGUCAAGAGGAAAGCUACCAAAAGCCUUAGCUUCAAUCAUUUAUAUUCUCAGAUCUCUGAUCGUCCCAAUUAUGGAAAGUGGGUUUGCCGAAGAACUGAUGCAUUCCAUUCCCUGGUCUUCAUGUACUUGCUGUUGAUAAUGAGUAUUUUUUUUUUCCCUUCUUCACUUCCACUUUCCUUUUUCUUUGGUUUCUAAGAAGUGCUUUGUGAAAUUGCACGGUUGUCUGUUGAUGGGGAAACGAGUGAUAAAAGGUGUUCAACAUGUAGCUUGUGAUUAUCUUCUCAAGUCUGAAUGGAAGAGUUUAACAUGUUAGCACUGAGCAAAUUUUAGCAAUAAAGAUAAAAUAAACCUUUUUUAGAGGAUGAUAUAGCAUUUAAAAAGAAGACUAGCACUUUUUUAACUAUACUUACAGGACUGAAUUGUAAUUUAAUUGGCCUCAAUAUCUCAUAUCAAUAUUACAUUUAAGUAUCAUUAGUGUUAAAU
rnacentral:lncRNA from 1 species